rnacentral:rRNA from 1 species
AUUGAACGCUGGCGACAUGCCUAACACAUGCAAGUCGAACGGCAGCACGGGUGCUUUCACCUGGUGGCGAGUGGCGAACGGGGGAGUAAAACACCGGGACACGCUCCGUAGUGGGGGAGAGCCCGGCGAAAGCCGGAUUAAUACUGCAUACGAAUAUAGGGUGCAAGCGGGGGACCUAGGGGCCGAGGGCUUUAGGGUCGGCUGAUGGCUGAUUAGCUAGUUGGUGGGGUAAAGGCCUACCAAGGCGACGAUCAGUAGCUGGUCUGAGAGGACGACCAGCCACACUGGGACUGAGACACGGCCCAGACUCCUACGGGAGGCAGCAGUGGGGAAUUUUGGACAAUGGGCGAAAGCCUGAUCCAGCAAUGCCGCGUGUGUGAAGAAGGCCUUCGGGUUGUAAAGCACUUUUGUCCGGAAAGAAAUCCUUGGCCCUAAUACGGUCGGGGGAUGACGGUACCGGAAGAAUAAGCACCGGCUAACUACGUG